rnacentral:rRNA from 1 species
UGGGGAAUAUUGCACAAUGGGCGCAAGCCUGAUGCAGCGACGCCGCGUGGGGGAUGACGGCCUUCGGGUUGUAAACUCCUUUCGCCAGGGACGAAGCGUUUUGUGACGGUACCUGGAGAAGAAGCACCGGCUAACUACGUGCCAGCAGCCGCGGUAAUACGUAGGGUGCAAGCGUUGUCCGGAAUUACUGGGCGUAAAGAGCUCGUAGGUGGUUUGUCACGUCGUCUGUGAAAUUCCACAGCUUAACUGUGGGCGCGCAGGCGAUACGGGCUGACUUGAGUACUGUAGGGGUAACUGGAAUUCCUGGUGUAGCGGUGAAAUGCGCAGAUAUCAGGAGGAACACCGAUGGCGAAGGCAGGUUACUGGGCAGUUACUGACGCUGAGGAGCGAAAGCAUGGGUAGCAAACAGGAUUAGAUACCCUGGUAGUCCAUGCCGUAAACGGUGGGCGCUAGGUGUAGGGGCCUUUUGGGGUUUCUGUGCCGUAGCUAACGCAUUAAGCGCCCCGCCUGGGGAGUACGGCCGCAAGGCUA